UCUCAACAAGGCCCUGUAGAAGAACUUACCUCUUCAUGUCCUUUACACAACAAGUAUUUCCACAAAAUUCAACAGAGAGUGAAUUAUCAUAUGUGAGUUUGGAAAUGCUCAGUAAAUUUUUAGUGAUUGCAGGAACAAGUAACAUGUCUUUUAGAGCUAUAGUGGUGGUGUGUGUAUAAUGAUGCUUUGAAGCUCUAAAUGAUAAAAAGCAAGACCAAUAUGAGAAAUAGAUAAGCCUUGACCAUUUCCAAUAAUGAAUU
rnacentral:lncRNA from 1 species